rnacentral:lncRNA from 1 species
AUAUAGUGCAGAAUUCGUGCCCAACAAAGAAGACAGCUACACCAUUGCAGUGGAGAAGCCAAGGAAACUAAGUCCAACAGAGGAAGCCAUUCGCAACUCCUAUACAUCAAAGGAAUCAGGCAAACUAGUGCUGUCAGUGGAUAAUACAAGUUCCAGGAGAAAAAAGGUCGCUGCUUAUCGCUAUACUGUUCGCAAAUCAACCUUGGAGUAGCUUGAGUUAGGUGUUACAAUAAACGAGUGAUCAUGUUUAAUUUUGAAAAGGGUAUUAUUAACUAAUGGUUUGUGAACUUUGAUUUGUUAGUAGUCUGUUUGAGUAGUAGUAA